GACGAACCGUACGAACGUUAUUCGGAAUCACUGGGCUUAAAGGGUGCGCAGGCGGUGCGGAAAGUUGGGUGUGAAAUCCCUCGGCUCAACCGAGGAACUGCGCUCAAAACUACCGUGCUUGAGGGAGACAGAGGUGAGCGGAACUUAGGGUGGAGCGGUGAAAUGCGUUGAUAUCCUAAGGAACACCGGUGGCGAAGGCGGCUCACUGGGUCUCUUCUGACGCUGAGGCACGAAAGCUAGGGUAGCGAACGGG
rnacentral:rRNA from 1 species